AUUGAACGCUGGCGGCAGGCCUAACACAUGCAAGUCGAGCGGAUGAAGGGAGCUUGCUCCUGGAUUCAGCGGCGGACGGGUGAGUAAUGCCUAGGAAUCUGCCUGGUAGUGGGGGAUAACGUCCGGAAACGGGCGCUAAUACCGCAUACGUCCUGAGGGAGAAAGUGGGGGAUCUUCGGACCUCACGCUAUCAGAUGAGCCUAGGUCGGAUUAGCUAGUUGGUGGGGUAAAGGCCUACCAAGGCGACGAUCCGUAACUGGUCUGAGAGGAUGAUCAGUCACACUGGAACUGAGACACGGUCCAGACUCCUACGGGAGGCAGCAGUGGGGAAUAUUGGACAAUGGGCGAAAGCCUGAUCCAGCCAGGCCGCGUGGGUGAAGAAGGUCUUCGGAUUGUAAAGCACUUAAGUUGGGAGGAAGGGCAGUAAGUUAAUACCUUGCUGUUUUGACGUUACCAACAGAAUAAGCACCGGCUAACUUCGUG
rnacentral:rRNA from 1 species